rnacentral:rRNA from 1 species
AUUGAACGCUGGCGGCAGGCUUAACACAUGCAAGUCGAACGAGUGGCGGACGGGUGAGUAAUGCUUGGGAAUCUAGCUUCUGGAGGGGGAUCACUACGAGAAACUUUAGCUAAUACCGCGUACCAUAGGAUGAGCCCAAGUGGGAUUAGGUAGUUGGUGAGGUAAAGGCUCACCAAGGCGAAGAACUCUAGCUGGUCUGAGAGGAUGACCAGCCACACUGGGACUGAGACACGGCCCAGACUCCUACGGGAGGCAGCAGUGGGGAAUAUUGCGCAAUGGGGGCAACCUGACGCAGCCAUGCCGCGUGAAUGAAGAAGGCCGUCGGGUGGUAAAGUUCUUUCGGUAGCGAGGCGUUAACUACAGAAGAAGCACCGGCUAACUCCGUGCCAGCAGCCGCGGUAAUAC